rnacentral:rRNA from 1 species
GACGAACGCUGGCGGCGUGCCUAAUACAUGCAAGUUGAGCGCUGAAGGUUGGUACUUGUACCGACUGGAUGAGCAGCGAACGGGUGAGUAACGCGUGGGGAAUCUGCCUUUGAGCGGGGGACAACAUUUGGAAACGAAUGCUAAUACCGCAUAAAAACUUUAAACACAAGUUUUAAGUUUGAAAGAUGCAAUUGCAUCACUCAAAGAUGAUCCCGCGUUGUAUUAGCUAGUUGGUGAGGUAAAGGCUCACCAAGGCGAUGAUACAUAGCCGACCUGAGAGGGUGAUCGCCACAUUGGGACUGAGACACGGCCCAAACUCCUACGGAAGGCAGCAGUAGGGAAUCUUCGGCAAUGGACGAAAGUCUGACCGAGCAACGCCGCGUGAGUGAAGAAGGUUUUCGGAUCGUAAAACUCUGUUGGUAGAGAAGAACGUUGGUGAGAGUGGAAAGCUCAUCAAGUGACGGUAACUACCCAGAAAGGGACGGCUAACUACGUG